UGGUGUAAUGAUGGUUCAUCUUUCGGGACUGAUUCUAAUGAAGUCAGAUCUUUGCUGAACACCA
rnacentral:snoRNA from 2 species